rnacentral:rRNA from 1 species
CCUACGGGAGGCUGCAGUGGGGGAUAUUGGACAAUGGGGGCAACCCUGAUCCAGCGAUGCCGCGUGUGUGAAGAAGGCCUGCGGGUUGUAAAGCACUUUCAGUGGGGAGGAGAGUAAGCGAGUUAAAAGCUAGAGUUACUGGACGAUACCCACAGAAGAAGCACCGGCAAACUCCGUGCCAGCAGCCGCGGUAAUACGGAGGGUGCGAGCGUUAAUCGGAAUUACUGGGCGUAAAGGGUGCGUAGGCGGUUUAGUAAGUUAUUUGUGAAAUACAUGGGCUUAACCUAUGUGCUGCAAAUAAUACUGUUAAGCUAGAGUAUGGUAGAGGGUAGUGGAAUUUCCGGUGUAGCGGUGAAAUGCGUAGAGAUCGGGAGGAACACUGGUGGCGAAUGCGGCUACCUGGACCAAUACUGACGCUGAGGCACGAAAGCGUGGGGAGCAAACAGGAUUAGAUACCCCUGUAGUC